GCCGGGGUAGCUCAGUCG
rnacentral:tRNA from 1 species